rnacentral:snRNA from 1 species
CCAUUUAAUGAUACAGAGAAGAAUAUCAUGGCCCUUGUGCAAGGAUGACAUGCAAAUUCGUGACAGGUUCCAUAUUAAA